rnacentral:tRNA from 1 species
GGAAAAUUAGUUAAAACAUAACGUAUGCUUGUCGAGCUUAAAUUACUGAACUUUUACAUUAUGCAGUAUUUUCCU